ACUGUUUAUUUACACAGGUUUAGGAGCACCAGGUGAAAAAUGUGAGCUUUGCCCUCACUUGGGGCUCAAAUUUACCUGGGCAUGUUUGGUGGGGGAUGGAACCACACUGUAGGUAAAAUUGUGUUCCAGAGAGAGAGGCGACAAUGGAGAAGAAGGAAUACACCUUGCUAGGCUCAGAUGUGGGGCCUUGGGUGGGAUGUAGGCAGUGGCUCUUUGCACGGGGUGUGGCUAUAACUGGGACCUCCAGGUGGUGGCUCACGGUUGCACUGGGGAAGGAAACUAAUCUAGGCAUAAAAGUUGAUGAAGCUGUAGCACCAAGAGUGCAAGCUGUGAAGGAAGUUGAGUCCUUCCUCCGCCAGCAGCAGACUGUGAGCUGCAGAGUCAAAUAUGAUGGAAAGUUUCCUUUUGAGAGGAGAAAAAAUGGUGAAAAGAAAAUUCUAGCAAAUAAAAAAUGAUUUGCAAGGCUUCUCCUGUACUUGCUAAGUAAGUAAGGGGGCUCUCUGGAUGACCUCAGACUUUUGGGAAAUUGAGAAAGCAUAUUCCACAGCAGCAGUCCCAUCCGGGGGUAGGAGUGGGGUGGCAGAGGGGCAGGGAAGAGAGCUAGAAAUGGGGCACGAGGCUGAGGACCCAGGACAGAAAAACUCUGCACCUGCCCCUUUAGUGACCAAGAGUUAAUUUCAAACCUAGAUUUUGAGUGACAGUAAAUUUAUAUAAAUAUUUUGAGGCCGGGUGUGGAGGCUCAUGCCUGUAAUCCCAGCACUUUGGGAGGCCGAGGCGGGUGGAUCAUGAGGUCAGGAGAUGGAGACCAUCCUGGCUAACACGGUGAAACCCCGUCUCUACUAAAAAAUAGAAAAAAUUAGCUGGGUGUGUUGGUGGGCGCCUGUAGUCCCAGCUACUUGGGAGGCUGAGGCAGGAGAAUGGUGUGAACCUGGGAGGCGGAGCUUUCAGUGAGCCAAGAUCGUGCCACUGCACUCCAGCCUGAGUGACAGAGCGAGACUCCGUCUCAAAAAAAAAAAAAAUUUGAAACAUGGUCUUUGCUUUGUUGCCCAGGCUGAAGUGCAGUGGCAUGAUCACAACUCACUGUAGCUUUGACCUCCUGGGCUCAUGCAAUACACCUACUUCAGCCUCCCAAGUAGCUGGGACUGCAGGCUCCCGCCACCAUACUCACUUAAUUUAAAAAAUUUUUUUGUUGAGAUAGGGUCUUGUUAUGUUGCCCAGGCUGGUCUGAAACUUCUAGACUCAAGUGACCCUCCUACCUCGGCCUCCCAAAGUGCUGAGAUUAUAGGUGUGAGCCACUGUGUCUGGACAACAGUCAAUUUUUAUAUGUGGACUUAAAGUUUGCUAUAUUAUUUGAAGUCAAUUAUGUUUCCUUCUAUAACUUUGGGUUGAGGUCAAGCAUUGUUGCUCCAGAUUUUUUUCCAGAUAAGUGGAGUGGGGUACAUGCUAAAAGAAUUGGGGUUCCCCAGAAGCAAAUGAUACUUACCUGACACAAGGGCUUUAGCUAGAUCUGUUUAGCCACCUCCAACCUUUCUUUGAAAGUAAACUUUUUUAUUUUUAGAUUUCUUCUUUUUACAGACACCAGUGUUACUUGCCAUUUUUUAAAAAGUUAAAAAUUUUUUUUUUUUUUGCUCUCCCUCUCCCUCUCCCCACGGUCUCCCUCUCCCUCUCUUUCCACGGUCUCCCUCUGAUGCCGAGCCGAAGCUGGACUGUACUGCCGCCAUCUCUGCUCACUGCAACCUCCCUGCCUGAUUCUCCUGCCUCAGCCUGCCGAGUGCCUGCGAUUGCAGGCGCGCGCCGCCAGGCCUGACUGGUUUUCGUAUUUUUUUGGUGGAGACGGGGUUUCGCUUUGUUGGCUGGGCUGGUCUCCAGCUCCUAACCGCGAGUGAUCUGCCAGCCUCGGCCUCCCGAGGUGCCGGGAUUGCAGAUGGAGUCUCGUUCACUCAGUGCUCAAUGUUGUCCAGGCUGGAGUGCAGUGGCGUGAUCUCGGCUCGCUACAACCUCCACCUCCCAGCCGCCUGCCUUGGCCCCCAAAGUGCCGAGAUUGCAGCCUCUGCCCGGCCGCCACCCCGUCUGGGAAGUGAGGAGCGUCUCUGCCUGGCCGCCCAUCGUCUGGGAUGUGAGGAGCCCCUCUGCCCGGCUGCCCAGUCUGGGAAGUGAGGAACGCCUCUUCCCGGCCACCAUCCCGUCUAGGAAGUGAGGAGAGUCUCUGCCCGGCGGCCCAUCGUCUGAGAUGUGGGGAGCACUUCUGCCCCGCCGCCCCGUCUGGGAUGUGAGGAGCGCCUCUGCCCGGCCGCGACCCUGUCUGGGAGGCUGGAGUGCAAUGGAGUGAUCUCAGCUCACUACAACCUCUGCCUCCUGAGUUCAAGCGAUUCUCCUGCAUCAGCCUCCCGAGUAUCUGGGAUUACAGACAAGGUCUCCCUCUGUCGCUCAGGCUGGAGUGCAGUGGUGCAAUCAUGGGUCACUGCAGCCUGGACCUCUGUGGCUCAAGAAUUCUGAUUCUAUUAUCAUCAGUUUUGCCUGUUCUUGUACAGUGUGUGCUCUUGUGUGUGGUUCCUUUUGUUCAACAUUCUAUGUUUUUGAGCUGCAUCCAUGUUGUUGAGCAUACAAACAGCUGUUUUGACGUUGUUGUCAUUGUGUGGUAUUCCAUUGUAUGACUAUGCUACCGUUUAUCUGUCUGUUGAUGAAUUUGAGCUGUUUCCAGUCAUUGCCUAUUAACAAAUAA